rnacentral:rRNA from 1 species
CAGUCGCCGCGGGAAUACGUAGGUGGCAAGCGUUGUCCGGAAUUAUUGGGCGUAAAGCGCGCGCAGGCGGCCUCUUAAGUCUGAUGUGAAAGCCCCCGGCUCAACCGGGGAGGGCCAUUGGAAACUGGGAAGCUUGAGUAUAGGAGAGAAGAGUGGAAUUCCACGUGUAGCGGUGAAAUGCGUAGAGAUGUGGAGGAACACCAGUGGCGAAGGCGACUCUUUGGCCUAUAACUGACGCUGAGGCGCGAAAGCGUGGGGAGCAAACAGGAUUAGAUACCCCGGUAGUCCCUGUCUCUUAUAC